UUUUUUCGAAAACUUGCUUUUCGAUUAUGUUUUUAUGUAUCCAAUGAAUGCUUUGACCUAAAUUUUGAAAGAACAAUUAUAGCUAGUCCAUUUAUCUAUCGAAUAAGACUAAAAUGAGCAAUAUUUAAUUAAUUCCUGCUAAAAUAGCGUUCUAGCCCACAGUGUGGCGCCUCAAAAAAAAGAAAAAUCAUUUUAAAACAAUUUCUUAAAAUCACGAAAAAAGCAUACUUUUUAAUGCAUUUAUGUAACAAAAUGCAGUUUAUUAAAGUAUAUUAGUUUAACUUAAAAAGAAAUAAAUUUUAAUGUUACCUACUUCUCAGGCUCAAUUGACAAGUUUACCUUUAUAUCUGACUUUUUUGUUUAAACACAUUUAAAGAGAUCUAGAUCCAGUAGAUACAGUUGGUUAUAUUUGAACAAUAUUUUUUUCAAAAUCUUUUUCAACUAUAUGAAUGUCGUUUUCGAAUGGAAUCAAUCAAUGAUUCACUCAUUCUGAAAUCCAAUAAAAAAGCUUGAAUCGCUUCCACUCUAUUCUGUUUGGUGAAAAAUAAAAGAAAAAAUGUUUUUGCUUUUUCACUAGAAGACGUUUAAUUAUUUAAUGUCGUUUUCGAUUGGUUCUCCGGAAGCGUCCGGAAUCAUUCAGAAGCCUUCUGAAAGUGAUUUAUUCGCACGAAUAUGAUAGACAGAAUGCUGCUCAGAAUAAAAGUCCUCUUCUUGAAUUCAAAAUAGAAUUCACUCAAAUAAUCAAAUGUCAAACCAAAUUUCUUAGUAGAAAAGCAAAAAAUAUUUAUUUGAUUAUUCAACAAUACAGAUAUAAAAUUCCAGAAUUGAGUGGAAGCGAUUCGGACUGUUUUAUUGGAUUUAAGAAUGAGUGAAUUCUUGAGUGAAACCACUCGAAAACGACAUAGGUAAGUAUUGGUGAUUUUGAGUGAAUUCUGUUUUGAAAUCAAGAAGAGAAUUUCUCUUCUGAGAGGCAUUUUCGUGCGAAUAAAUAAACGCUUUCAGCAGGCUCCUAACUAUUUUUUUUAUUCUCACACACAAAAGUAGUUUUUAUGAGAAAUGGAAGAACUGUCAAUUUUUCAAGAGUUGGGAAAUAUAAACUCGGGAGUAGUUCUCGCGUCUAGUUUCAAAUAAAUGAAAAUUGUGGACAAUAAGAAUAAUAAAUACCGAAAGUUUUAGUGCUUGCACCUACAUAUUUGCAACUAUGUAAAUCUUAAUCUAUUUAAUUCUUUAAAGUACAAUACUUUACAAAUACCUAACCCAUUUUAAUUUUGUUUUGACACAUAAAUAUGACAGUACAGCUGAGCUGAUUGAUAUCUAUUCUUUUCAGUCCAGUUCUGUUUUUUUAUUCAUUACAGUCUGGAAAUCGUCGGUCUAUUCUUUUCCAUAUCCGAAAAAAAAAAAAAUAAACACACUCCAUCUCCAUAUUACCAGAUAUGAUUAAGUGAUCUAAAUAUAGGGGCGCCUUUGCAAAAAUUAAAUUGGCUGGGGGAAUAUAAGCAUUGCUUUAGUUUUUCAAAAAAAACUGGGGCGCUUUUGUAUUCAAAGAUGAACGAAGAUCAACCCAAAAUUGGGAACGCCUUCAUUCUUCAAAAUGUUUAGGACAAAAAAUAAGAGCGCCGUCAAUUUAAACAAGUCGAAAACGAUGGUCUUCCGGGGAGGAUCAGGACGCUUAGCUCAAAAUGAAAAAUGGUUUUAUGGUAAAGAUCUAAUCGAAACAGUGAAAGAGUACCAGUACUUAGGAUUUACGAUAUCAAGCAACCUCAACAUCGAAAACCACCUUACCAAAAAACUAUUGGCAUCCAAAAAUGUGAUAGGGACAGUUUGGAAAAAUGUGUAUGGGAACCAGGACCUCCGUUUCAGCUCAAAAUACAAAGUUUUUGUUGCUACUUCCGAAGCAAUUAUGCUUUAUGCAGCUCAAUCAUACUAUCUAAAACGUCAAUUCCAGCUUCCAGAUACAACACCAAACUACAUGCUUUUCAUAGAAACAGGUCUUUCACCUUUAUACCUAACAUUACUAAAACUCCACUUUCAAUAUAUAACCAGCUAAUUUACAGCCGGACCGAAAAAAUUUCUCGCUAAGUCGCUAUUUCAGCCAUCAAAGCCAAAAGUUCCUGGUUUGAAGAGUGGAAAAACUUAGCUGAUAUGUGUGCGCUGCCGUUUAAUUUAACCUUAGACAACUUGCCAACAUGGAAACCAUAUUUGGAUGACCUGCUCGAACAGCUUCACUCAAAACACAGAGCGGAUAGUAAUAAAUAGGCAAAGAGUUCACUACAUAGGGAAACAUAUUCCAAGCUAUCACACAGAGAAAAAUAGAACACAUAAAAUAGAACAAAAACAAUACGAUUUCUCUAUGGUUUUCAUCCAAGAAGGAAACCUUAUUAAAACAAUCGGGUUUUCCUUAUUGUUUUAAAAUCUGCAAAAAUAAAAAAAAUGAUGACCAGGUUGGAAAUCGAACUGGAGACUUCAAAUCAUUAGCCGCCCACCUUACCACCUGAACCAACCUGCCAUGAAAAUAUUGAUCGCGAUUUUUGUUCUAGUGCUAAGUUGCAAAAAAAAUCAACGUUUCAGUCAAAUUUUAAUAAGAUUUUCUCUAUAAAAAUAAUAAGAAAUCUCCUUAAAAAAACCUUAUUAAUCGUUGAUUUUAAUAAGAUUUCCUUAUGAAAUGUAUGCACGGUAAAACAAUAUGGCAGUCUGUUAGUUUUUAGCGGGUCAUAUUUUUCUUUGUGCAUAUAAUCUUGGUCGGGCGAAUCAUUUUAGCGACCAUCUCACUGCAGAGAAUAUUCAAAUGAUCUUUCGAGCAAGAGGAGAACUGUUGCCGCUAAAUUUCAUUCCACACAAUACGAUCUACUGCUACUGGGGGGGUUUCCAUAGCAUUUUAAUGGAAGAUGGUUGACUAAUUGUUGUAUAACUUUUGCAGUUUAUAAGAUAAUCUUAUGAAAGUACUUUUUUGAAAAGGUAAUAAACGUACGAAUAUUUUUGAGUCAUUUAAAUUUUAGAAACAUUUCUUGUGCGAUUUUUAUAAGGGUCGAAAAUGAUUUUUUUCCUGCAAAUUUAGAUUGAAUCAGAAUUUUGGUUGGGGCACCGUUGUUUAUAAACUUUUUACUUUUUUUUUUUUUGUUUUAUAAUGAUCAAAUGUGUUUUCAUGCAGUACGUGAAACAGAUUUUUUUUUUUUUUAUUAGAAAAAAAGCUUCGUUUAUUUGUUGUAAUUUCAUGUUUUUUUACUCACUCUUCUUAGAAUAACUUUACCGUUUAUUACUGUUUUUAGAUGAAACAAAAAGAAAAAAAUAAAGUGAAAUUAGGAGAAUCCAAUAAAAUUUCUAAAAUUUAAUUUGAAGUUAGUUUGAACGGUUAAUUUGAAGGAAAGGUGUCAAAAUGCACUUUUUUAGCAUUUUAGUCGUUAGGCAAAGCGUGAUAAUUUUUUAAAUGUUUUUGUAUUUUUUAAUGAGAAGUUAAUAAAGUUGUUCAUGCAACCCGUUUGCCAAAAAAAAUAUUUUUUUAUUUACACACUAAAAAUUUGAUUUUAAUAAACCAAUAUUUGCAUUCUGUUUUUGGGGAAGGGGCAGUCAAAGCAUCCACAAUUUAUUUUUAUUAUUUUUUUUUAUUAUAUUUCAAAUCAGUUUCAAAAAAAAAAUAUAUGUUUUUGCUCACAGUAUUUUUAAUAUAAAUUGUUGAAAAAGUGUAUAUUUUAGCUUUUUUUACUUUAAAAAUUCCAUUGAUCACGCACACAUGCAAAUUUAGUUCAAAAGAAUGCCACGCAUAAGGUGGCGCUGAUGAACUCUUUUUUUCUGUUCUUUUCUAUUUAUUGAAAAAAAACUUGCUCUUGCGCUCUCAUUUUCUCGUUAUAUUUUGUUUUUUUUUUUUGUGUUUACAUAAUACUUUUUUUUUUGUUUCCUAUUUCCUUACUCAGGCAGGCAGAAAUCAUUCAUGAAAUUAUGAAGAUGAUGCAGAGAGUAGGUAGAUAGUAGAUAUUUUUUGCAAGAUUAUUAUCUUUGGUUUUCAAAAAGGGUUGUUUUGUUCUUGUUGACUCUUGGGUUUUUCCUAACAAUUCAUUUCGUGUUUAUAAUAUCGCAUCCGCGCUUGCGAGUUGACACUUUUGGGUUUUUUUUUUGUGUCAGCGAAAUUCUUUGCAUUGUGUAAUAUUCACAUCGCUCGUGCGGGGAUAUAGGUAAAGGAUUAGAUAUGUGGUAUGCAUUUGUUUGUGUGUAAAAAUGUGUAUUGACAUUUGACAUGUGCUUGUGCACAAUGAUUGAUUUCCAUAUUUAGGUUGAUUUCUGGGUUGUAUUGUUUAUUAUACUACACUCGCGCGUGCGUGCGGGGUUAUAUAAUAUACAUAUGUCCUUUUGUUUUUCAUUGUCUACAGAACCAAAAAAGUAGCUAAUGCCUAUCUGAAUUUAUAAAUAAAAUAUCAGUUUGAAAAAAAUAGAUCAUUGUUUUUCAAAGUGUUGAGCUUGAAAAUUAUUUUUGAAAACUUCCCUAAACUUUGAUUACAUAAUUGAAAAAUUAAUUUCAAGGUUUAAAAAAAAGUAACUUAUAAGUUAUUAAUGCUGCCUUAUUUUUGUUUCCUAAUAAUGUAGGUAGGUAUAAGUAAAUAAAAAACAAAAUCGAUUCAAUUACGAACUGAGUUCAUUACAUUGGUGACUUAAAAAAAAAUCUUUAUUAAAAAGGUUUUGAAAGUAAAUUGGAUUGAUAUCGAGUCCAUCCUCAAACAACAUACACAUAAGAACCUAAACAUUCUAUAUAUUGUAAGUAAAUACAUUUCCAUGUCAGCCGGCACGCGCUAGUUUUUUUUUUUUUUUUGACGGUAGGAAAUCUUCAAAAGACACUUGGCAGUAUUCGACACCAAGUUUCUAGUAUUCAAGACGGACACCAUUUCAGAAUUGGUAUGACAUUGCAGUCUCUGAUUAUGGGAUACAGCGUAUUUUUUAACAACUUCUGUAACCGUUUCUAUUUGUAAGUCACGAUGUAGAUCGCUAUUUCUUAUGUACCAAGGUGCAUUAACUAUUCCACGAAGGACUUUGUUUUGGAAGUUUUGGAUGAUUUCGGUAUUUGUUUUCUUUGUACAGCCCCAUAAUUGGAUACCAUAGGUCCAAACAGGCUUUAGUACUUGAUUAUACAGCAUUAUUUUGUUUUGGGUUGAUAAAUCAGAGUUGUUACCAAGUAACCAGUACAUUUUUCUAUAUUUCAAGUUUAGUUCUUCUCUUUUCUUUUUGAUGUGCUCUUUCCACUUUAGCUUUGCAUCCAAAGUCAUUCCAAGGUAUUUGGCCGUAUUGGCGUAAGGUACAGCUUGAUUAUUAAUGAAUAUUGGAAUAUUGUUUAUCUUUUUAUUUGUAAAGUUUAUAUGUGAAGAUUUUGUUUCAUUGAGUUUGAUACGCCAUUUUUCGGUCCAAUCUCUGACUGUGUCGACGGCAUAUUGCAGCUUUACUGCUCCCCUAGAGACACAUUUGUCGGGUACCAAAAUUGCGGUAUCAUCUGCAAAAGUAGCCAUUAUGGUGUGAUUCCCAACUGGGAUAUCCCUUGUGUAUAGCAAAUACAGGGUAGGACCUAGGACACUUCCUUGUGGUACACCGGCUUCUAUUUUCUUCAAUUCCGAAUAUUCUUGAUCGUACCUUAGUCUAAACAAUCGGUCUGAGAUGUACGAUUUUAAUAUUUCAUAGUACUGUCUGGGAAGAUCCCUUUGCAGUUUGUACUCAAGUCCCUCAUGCCAAACCUUGUCAAAGGCUUGAGCAACAUCUAAGAAAAUAGCUGAACAGACUUGUUUUUCUUAUAAUGCUUUUUCUAUUACAUCCGUUAUUCUAUGAACUUGGUCUAUCGUGGAAUGUUUAUUUCUAAAGCCAAACUGAUGAUUUGGGAUUAACCUUCUUUCUUCUAUAAUUUUGCUAAGUCUCUUCAGAAGCAGCUUUUCAAAAACUUUUGCCAUAAUUGGUAUAAGCGAUAUUGGUCUGUAAGACGUCACUUCUGUAGGUGGCUUACCUUGCUUGGGUAUGACAAUAACUUCAGCAAUUUUCCAAUGGUGUGGGACAUACCGUUGCUUAAGGCAUGCAUUUAUUAUAUAUUGGAGUUUUAUGAAGGCUUUCAAAGGCAUUUCUUUCAUAACCUGAGCAGUAAUUAGAUCGUAACCUGGUGAUUUUUUAUUUGAUAGUUGAUGUAAACACAUACUUUUUAUUUCUUUUAAUCUUACAAUUGGAUCCAUUUCCCAUCUUGAGAUUUCAAGGGAGAGUUUAGUAACUGCGGUCUUUUCAGGCGCUUGGCUGCUUUCCAUAGCGAAAAAUCGGUUGAAGCAUAAGUCGUUAAAUCUUUAGGAAUGUUCUGAGUGAAUCAUUUUUGAAUUUAUAAAUUUGUUUUUUUAAGAUUGUUGCUUAUACGGUUAAACGUUGUUUUAUCAUCUGGAAAUCUAGUAUUUUGCCAUUUUCUUCGAGCUCUUCUUUUCUCUAUUAUCAACUCUCUUAUCUCUAAAGGAUAUUUUAUUUCAUUUUGUCUUCUAUUAGAAAAUGUUGGAGUACUUUCUUCAGCGGCCUGUUGCACAUCAGCAAUAAAUUGUUCCACUUCAUGGUCAAUUUGCUCGAUUGUAUCCAUGGGAGAUCUUAAAUUUAUAAAACUUAAAAGCCUUUCUCUAAAAUCACUCCAGUUUGUUUUCUUAUUUACAAGCUUUGGAUUACUUUUUAUUACUUUAUCUGAUGACAAGUCAUAAUACCUUCGACACUAAUGUGAUUUCGUUUGAUUCCUUUAGCUACGAAAAAGUCAAUAAGGUCUGGUAUUUUGUUAGUAUCGGAAGGCCAGUAAGUAGGCGACCUGGAGGAAUAGAAUUAACGAUUGUAUUUACGGCCUGCUUGGAAAAGUCUUUUGCCUUUAGUUGAUAUAAGUCUUGAACCCCAAUGGGUGUGUUUCGCAUUGAAGUCUCCACCAACAAGAAAGUUAUGCCCAAGAAGAUUUAAUAGAUCUGUAUAGUCAUCUUCUGUCGGGGAGCGCCUUGGUGGGCAGUAUAUAGCUGCUAUCUUAAACUCUUUCUUUUUCAUACCAAUACUAAUAGUUGUUACUUGCAUAUUUUCAUUAGUAAGCUUGGGUUCUUCAUAAUGUUUUAAGCUUUCUUUUAUAAGAAUCGCCGAUCCACCUCUUGCCUUGUCAGCUGGAUGUGGAGCGUGGUAACAUGAAUAGUUUUCUAUUACAUUAUCUAGACUUUGCCCAUUGGAGAAGUGAGUUUCGGACACCAAGCAAAUAUCUAAAUGUUCUAGAUCUAAAAAGAUUUUUAAUUCGGAUAAGUGUUGUAAAAGACCGUUUGCAUUCCAUGUAGCGAUUUUAAGUGUUCUGUCCAUCAUUGUUUUUUAAGAGCGACUUUUUCGCUUAACGGUUUGAUAUUCAAAUCCUGUUUAUCAAUUCUUUGAAGAAUGAGGUGUAGCAUUUCUUUUAUGGAAGUCUCUUCAUUCUUCCGCACAUUUUUUAGAAUCUGAGAAUAGGCUUUAUUUUCAUCGCUUUUACUUUGAACAGCUUUUUUAGGCGGUUCAUUCUUAGUAUUGUUUUCAGCAGUUAAAUCGGUAUUAACUGUGUUUCUGGGUUUGUCUCUAGCAGAUGUAUUUUUGCUUCUGAACUCUUGGAAUUUUUUGGCAACUGGGCAGCCUCUAUAGCUUGCCGGGUGAUUACCCUGGCAGUUCACACAUUUUGCUUUCUGAUCUUUGCUCAUCGGACAAUUUUUAGUUGCAUGUUUUCCUUCGCACUUUACACAAGCAAACUCGCGGUUGCAGUAUUUUUGGGUAUGACCAAAAGCUUGGCAACGUUUUCACUGCGGAACAACUUUAGAUUUUCGGAGUGGUUCAAUUUUAACAGCUAUGCCCAAGAUUGAUCUUACUUUAUAAAUCUCCUCGACACUUUGUUUAAUAUCAAAAGUUAGCAUGAAUAAAGGUAGUAACCUCUUACUUGUCGUCGAUUCUCCAGAGGAGUUUUUUAUUGUCUCAUUCUUAAAUAGAUUGACUGCAUCUAGGGCUUGGAAGCCUUUUUGUACAAGAUCUUCCACUACUUCCUCGGGAGAGCACGAGGAUUGAAGACCUCUGGCUACUACUUUUAUUGGCCUUGUAGCUCUGUUCUCAUAUGAGUGCCAUUGAAUUUGGUGUUUGCUCAGUUCUUCAGUGACAGAUCUAUACUCGUCGGCUUCUUCGACUAUGUACGCGCUAGUGCGAGACAAAAAUUAUAUCAAUGCACCCAUAUAACACGUCAUCUACCUGCUUCUCCGCUAAACAACUAUAAUUAUUAUUAUAAUGCAAAAAAUUUCUCUGAUACACAAAAAACUCAAAUGCCAUCCACAACAGCAACAUGGAAACAAGUUUCUUUUUCA